rnacentral:rRNA from 1 species
UUCCGGUUGAUCCNGCCGGACCCGANUGCNAUCGGAUUGAUACUAAGCCAUGCGAGCCUGUAUCACGCAGUCAUAUACAAGGCAGACGGCUCAGUAACGCGUAGUCAAUCCUAACUAUGGACGGGAAUAACCUCGGGAAACUGAGAAUAAUGCCCGAUAGAACACUAUGCCUGGAAUGGUUUGUGUUCCAAAUGAUUUAUCGCCGUAGGAUGGGACUGCGGCCUAUCAGUUUGUUGGUGAGGUAAUGGCCCACCAAGACUAUUACAGGUACGGGCUCUGAGAGGAGUAGCCCGGAGAUGGGUACUGAGACACGGACCCAGGCCCUAUGGGGCGCAGCAGGCGAGAAAACUUUGCAAUGUGCGAAAGCACGACAAGGUUAAUCCGAGUGGUUUGUGCUAAACAGACCUUUUGUUAGUCCUAAAAACACUAACGAAUAAGGGGUGGGCAAGUUCUGGUGUCAGCCGCCGCGGUAAAACCAGCACCUCAAGUGGUCAGGAUGAUUAUUGGGCCUAAAGCAUCCGUAGCCGGCUCUGUAAGUUUUCGGUNCAAUCUGUAUGCUCAACAUACAGGCUGCCGGGAAUACUGCANAGCUACGGAGUGGGAAAGGUAGACGNUACUCGGUANGAAGGGGUAAAAUCCUUUGAUCUAUUGAUGACCACCUGUGGCGAAAGCGGUCUACCAGAACACGUCCGACGGUGAGGGAUGUAAGCUGGGGGAGCAAACCGGAUCAGAUACCCGGGUAGUCCCAGCUGUAAACUAUGCAAACUCAGUGA